AAUAAACUAAUCUUUCACUUUUUACAUAUAAUUUUUUGACUCUUCGUCUUAUUUAAAAUUCUUUUACGAUUAAUAUUUUUGUUUUUAUUAAAUGGUAAAUCAUGAAUAAUACUUUACGUGUAACUAAUUUCUUUUAAAUUUCUUAAAAUUUUUUUAAAUAAGACAGAUGAUCAUACGCUGAAUACGAGAACCGAAAG
rnacentral:pre_miRNA from 1 species